GUAGGCAUAUGUUCACUGCUGCAAUGUGGUCAGUAAAUGGGUGGGAUCCACCACUUUAUUUCAUAUCAUUUUGACACCGUCAUAAAGACACAUGUUCAAUUUAAUAAAAAAUAAUCUUGCCCCCCCCCCCCCAAAAAAAAGUGGAUAUUUAAAAAAAUGCACUAAUUUAAUGUAACAGGCUUUCAAAAUGCAAUAUUCGCGCACAAUUUCUACUUAAUGUCAAAGGCAUGCAAAAGGCACUCAUUUCGUGGACACAAAUACACUUAGUUGCAACCUGGUCUCAGAGCAUUUGUAUUAUUCUGUAUGUAAAUCCAACACGCUCCAUUUAGUAUGAUAUGUUACAUUAGACAGAUGGUUACUUAAGGCAAAAACAAAAGGAGGGUUGGACAUAUACGAAAAGUCUAGCAACCCAAAGGCUGAGAGUUCGAAGCGCAUCACAUGAUACUACUUAUCAUGUUAGCUAACCCUUCCCCUAACUCGUCACCUAAUUCUUAAACUUAACCCUAAAGCCUAGCCUAGCUAACAUUAGGGAGCUAGCUAACGUUACUCCGCUAGGUAGAAUUAGUAACAUACGUUUUGCAAAUUCCUAACAUGUUAAUUGUCUCGGAUUUACGUACAGAAUAAUACGAAAUGCUCCGAGACAAGGUUGACAUCGAGUAUGAAACACCUUCUUAGAGCUUCAGCUUGUCUGCCUGAAUGUAUUUCUGAGCAUGAUGAAUUUCUGACUAUUAAGUCGUGUCCAUCGGCGCUCUAAACUCACAGCUUCUCGGUUGUUCACGCGAAUGACCGCACGUAGUGGACUUGCACUGCAAACCAAGCAAUGACGAUCCGCACCACUUGUGAUACAAUGCAUCGAUCCACAAUAUCUAUUCUUUCUCGCAAUGAGAUAACAGCAGUUACGGCACUUGCAUCAUGUCUAGACAUUCUGCCUUUUUUAUGUCUAAAUUGACAGUAUUUAUCCUGCUAACCAUUCUGAAAACUCAACGCAAGCAUGGAAUAAAGAAAUUGAGUAUCACUCACGACUGGAACGUAGCCGCCACACUUCCUGCUCUUCUCCUCCUGGUUUAUUGGGAGAUAUUGCUGGUCUCUUCUACCGGCCAUAUCGUAAUUUCUAUUUCAGCGCGGGAAGGUCUUCUAUAUAUACAUGUCGGAGUUGGACACUCCCCUUCGAGCUCAUGCUCAUUAUGUUUCCUGCUCUCUGCACAGGAGAAGGAACCAUUGAAGAUUGUAGACAGUACUACUACAUAGCAACGCUUGAUUCACUGUUUUCACAACGUAUGCCAACUCCCACUUCUCCCUCUCACUAGGGUGCAUGUCCUCUGAAAGGGAUUGGUUUUCCCCUGAGCUUAACCUUUAAAAACAGAGAGCAUGGGUGAGUGUGAGAAUUCAAGUCAAUGUAACACAUUUUCCAGAGUUGUAUAGUAAUAAAAUGCAUUUCCACAGCAGAAGCAAAUUACAAUCCAUACGUUUUUGGACAGUGAGCACUUCUAAAAAAAAUGUGGCAUUUUGUAUUUAAGACAGAAUGUUUCAUAUAGGCGACAGUAUAGAAUGUCAGGUUCUUUUUGAGAGUACUUUGAGACAUACAGUAUAGAAAGUCAGAAUGUUAACCUUUAGUUGCCUUACAGCCUGAAAUGAAAACACAUCAAAUUUGAUUUUUCCAGCUUUAUUUUCACACAGUAAGUAACCCACAAUAUCCAAGUGAGAAAAAUAAAAUAAAAACCUCAAACUGUAUUAAAUUAACACAGUAAAAUACCCUAUUUGGAUAAGUGAACACCCCCCUGAGUUAAUACUUGGUGGAACCACCUUUUGCUUGAAUUACAGCCAUGAGUCUCUUUGAACACUUCUCCACUAACUUUGCACAGCUAGACUGUGCAAUAUUUGCCCAUUCUUCCUUGCAAAAUUGUUCACGCUCAGUCAAAUUGUAAGGUGACCGCUCAGGGGCUGCACUCAAGUCAUUCCACAUGUUCAACAGGAUUUAGGUCGGGGCUCUGUCUAGGCCACUCAAGGACAUUCACCUUCUUGUCCUUCAGCCACUGUACAGUUGCUUUAGGUCAUUGUCAUGUUGAAACAUGAACCAUCUUCAACUUCCUGACAGAGGGCUGCAGGUUCUCCUCAAGAAUCUGUCAGUAUUUUGCACUGUCCAUUUUCCCUUCUAUCCUAACAAGUGCUCCAGUUCCUACUAAGUGAAACACCCCCAUAACAGGAUGCUGCCACCGGCUGGCUUUACUGUAGGCAUGGUGCUUUGGGUGUAAAGAUGUAUUGGGAUUUCGCCAGACAGUUCAAUUUUGGUCUCAUCUGACCACAGAACCGUUUGCCACGGCCUCGGAAUCUACAAUGUGUUUUUUGGCAAAGCUCAAAUGAGACUUGAUGUGGCUUUUUCUGAGUGUUUUUUUUCUUCUUGCCACCCUCCCAUAGAAGCCAGAUUUGUGGAGCUUGUGAUAUUGUGGUCACAUGCACACAUUGACUAGUGUUUGCCAAAAAGGCCUGGAGCUCCUUCAAAGUCGACAUUGGCUUCUUGGUAGCAUCUCUGAUCAGUUUCCUUCUUUCCCAGUCAUCCAGUUUGGAGGGAGGCCUGAUCUAUGCAGGGUCUGGGUGGUGCCAUACACCUUCCACUUCUUAAUAAUGGUCUUACCUGUGCUCCGAGGGACAAACAAAGCCUUCAAAAUAUUUUCAUAUCCAUCCUGACUCGUGCCUUUCCACAACUUUAUCUCGUAGAUCUUUUGAAAGUACCUUUCUGCCCAUAGUGGAUUCUUUGCUUUGAAUUGCACUACUCAGCAAUAGAGUCAAUAGCUUGAUUGUUGAUCUGGAACGUGGUUGGUUAUACCUCAGCAUAUUUGCAAUUACAAUUUCAAGGGUGGGGGGGGGGGGCAUCACCGAUCCAAAUAGGGUAUUUUACUGUUUUACUUUUAAUUAAUUUUAAUAUUUUUUAGAAAGAAACAUUUACAUAGAUAUUGUGGGCUACUUUCUGUAAAUAAUUCGAUGUGUUUUCAUUUUAGGCUGUAAGGCAACAUCAAAAGGUGAACAUUUUGAAAUGGGGUGGUGACUUUCUAUACCCAUUGUAUCUGUUUUACUGUUAAGAAAUUAAAACACUAUGUAUCUAGUCCCCCCAUUUGGACAAAUUCACUUAGUGUAUUAAAGUAGUCAAAAGUGUAGUAUUUCUUGCACGCAAGGACUACAUCAAGCUUGUGAAUCUACAAACUUUUUGGAUGAAUUUGCAGUUUGUUUUGGAUUAUGUUUUUCCCAACAGGAACUGAAUGGUGAAUAAUGUCUUGUGCCAUUUUGGAGUCUACAUUCAUCCUAAUUAGGAAAAUCAUGAAUGAAUCAUUUAGUCAUAUCAUUGAAGAAACAUUAAGUGGAUGCUACCAUGAUUAUGGAUAAUCAUAAAUUAAUCAUGAAUGUAUGAGUGAGGUUACAGAGGCACAAAGAUCAUACUCCCCAAAAAAUGCUCAUCUUCCCUGUUAUUGGUAAUUGUGAGAGGGUAGCAUUUUGUUGCAGCCUCUUAGUGGCAUCAUUAUUCAUGAUUUUUCUUAUCAGGAUUAAUUUAUAAGUGUUCAAAAAUAAUCUUACCUACUUAAUUAGAAAUACAAUUACUCUAGUCAUCAUUCAAUUACUAUUGGGCAAAACAUAAUCCAAAACACAACCAAAACAAACAAACAAACUGCUUGAUUAGAUAAGAUAAGCAUUCAAACCCUGAGUCAAUACAUGUUUGAUGCACCUUUGGAAGAGAUUACAGCUGUGAGUCUAAGUCUCUAAGAGCUUUGCACAUCUGGAUUGUACAAUAUUUUGCCCAUUAUUGUUUUUUAAAUACGUCCAGCUCUGUUAAGUUGGUUGUUGAUCAUUGCUAGACAGCCAUUUUCAAGUCUUACCAUAGAUUUUCAAGACAAUUUAAGUCAAAACUGUAACUAGGCCACACAGGAACAUUCAACAUCGUCUUGGUAAGAAACUCCAGUGUAUAUUUGGCCUUGUGUUUUAGGUUGUUUUCCUGUUGAAAGUUGAAUGUCUCCCAGUGUCUGUUGGAAAGCUGACUGAACCAGUUUUCCUCUAGGAGUUUGCCUGUGCUCAGCCCAAUUCCAUUUAUUUUUUAUCCUAAACAACCUACCUAGUCCUUUCAAAUGACAAGCAUACCCAUAACAUGAUACAGCCACUGUCAUGUUUGGAAAUACUGAGCGGUACUCAGUGAUGUGGUAAAUGACCUUUUAAUGGCAUCAGACCGAGGCUCUGCAUCUGUCCUCGUGCUCCUAGACCUUAGUGCUGCUUUUGAUACCAUCGAUCACCACAUUCUUUUGGAGAGAUUGGAAACCCAAAUUGGUCUACACGGACAAGUUCUGGCCUGGUUUAGAUCUUAUCUGUCAGAAAGAUAUCAGUUUGCCUCUGUGAAUGGCUUGCCUCUGACAAAUCAAAAAAAAACAAAAAAAAAAAAAAAAAAAAAAAAAAAAAAAAAAAAAAAAAAACUGUAAAUUUCGGUGUUCUUCAAGGUUCGUUUUAGGCCACUAUUGUUUUCACUAUAUUUGACCUCUUGGGGAUGUCA
rnacentral:lncRNA from 1 species